UUUUUCAAGUUCUUUUUCACGAGGUGUCAAAUAAUGCUUUUAAGAAACCCCUGCACAUAUCGCCUUUACCCUAGCCCUUACCUCUUCAAUUAAAACUCCUCAAGAAAGUAUAUGGAUAGACUAUAUACCACAAUAGACUUUUCUAGACAUUUAAUUUUAGUUUUAGAUAACUAUAACCUAACAUAUAUUACAGCUUAGGCUGACAAAUAUUUAGCCAGGAAUUAUGCAAACUGCCAAGUGUUCUUGCCCUUAAUAUCAGAUAAUAGUAAAGUAUGGCUCUUUUCUCUGCACUCAGCUGAACAUUUAUCUGUGGAGGAUGGAGUCCUAGCAGCACAGAAUUCUAGGCUGGAAAGGAUCUUAGAGAUCACCCCAUGCAACCCCUUGAUUUAGUUUUGUCAAAUUGCUCCAAGCUCUCCACAGAAGGAUGCUGGGCUCUCCUAAGUGAAACAGCUGUGGGCACUCAAGGAGGACAUGAUAAAUUAAAGGUGCUUUCUUUAUAACGUUAUGGCCAAAGGGCUGCAGGGAAAUAUGGUUUACAUUGCCUGACAUUUUACCUGUGUUGGGAAUGUAGCUAGAUGGUCUAUAAAUAAAGGGCAGCAAGGAAACAAGAGAUUCUCAACAGUGUUGGGAAUAAAAUGCAGUGUGUGAUAGACAUGGCUCGAAGUGGUAUGAGCUAGGAAAGACCUUUUUCUCCCAGCUUUGCCCAAGUAAUUGAUGGAUAAGGGAUAAAACACAAAAAUAAAUCAGUGUGCUAGAAGGUAAAGCAGGUGAGAGAAAGGACGGACAGAUGUAAGUCAGCAAGCAUAGAUUGCUAACUGUUGUCCACUUUGAUAGUAUCUGCAUGUUAUUUUCACUUUCAGUUCCUUUUUUAUAAAAAGAAAGACAUUCAAAACCAAUGGCUCCAGAUCAGUAUUUCAUGUAUUAUACAGCCUCAAUCAAUUUUCGCAUGCAUUUCUGUGGUCCCUUGGACCAAAUUAGCGACCAAAAUCUAGCCUGUUUUAAGGAAGGUAGCUACAUUGCGACUAAAUCCAGAUCUUCCUAUUUUACUGCUCCAUCUUGCCACAUAAUAGACUGCCUAUCCUCUAAUUCUUCCAAAGUACUACUAGAUCAAAUUUGACUGGGUAUCCUGUAUUUUUAUCUGCUAAAUCUUACUACCAUAUACUCCUGUGUUUGGUUUCUGCUAGUCGACCUAAUGAAGGAUGGCCAUCAGGUGUGCUUCGCCACCCUCUGUACCUAUUCUCUAUGCAGACAGACCC
rnacentral:lncRNA from 1 species